rnacentral:rRNA from 1 species
CAGUAGCCGCGGGAAUACGUAUGUCACAAGCGUUAUCCGGAUUUAUUGGGCGUAAAGCGCGUCUAGGCGGUUAAUUAAGUCUGAUGUGAAAAUGCGGAGCUCAACUCCGUAUUGCGUUGGAAACUGGUUAACUAGAGUACUGGAGAGGUAAGCGGAACUACAAGUGUAGAGGUGAAAUUCGUAGAUAUUUGUAGGAAUGCCGAUGGGGAAGCCAGCUUACUGGACAGAUACUGACGCUAAAGCGCGAAAGCGUGGGUAGCAAACAGGAUUAGAUACCCGGGUAGUCCCUGUCUCUUAUACA